rnacentral:rRNA from 1 species
UGGGGAAUAUUGGACAAUGGGCGAAAGCCUGAUCCAGCCAUGCCGCGUGUGUGAAGAAGGUCUUCGGAUUGUAAAGCACUUUAAGUUGGGAGGAAGGGCAGUAAGCGAAUACCUUGCUGUUUUGACGUUACCGACAGAAUAAGCACCGGCUAACUCUGUGCCAGCAGCCGCGGUAAUACAGAGGGUGCAAGCGUUAAUCGGAAUUACUGGGCGUAAAGCGCGCGUAGGUGGUUCAUUAAGUUGAAUGUGAAAGCCCCGGGCUCAACCUGGGAACUGCAUCCAAAACUGGCGAGCUAGAGUAGGGCAGAGGGUGGUGGAAUUUCCUGUGUAGCGGUGAAAUGCGUAGAUAUAGGAAGGAACACCAGUGGCGAAGGCGACCACCUGGGCUCAUACUGACACUGAGGUGCGAAAGCGUGGGGGGCAAACAGG